rnacentral:lncRNA from 1 species
UCUUGGUCACGCAUGCUGCUUGCGUCUUCUAAUCUAAAGCUCUCUAAUGUCAGCAGUAUAAAGAGAGGUUUUAGCCAUAGCGGUUUGAACUUCACAACUCCAAUUUUGUUUCUUGUAUACUCAUCGCAACCUAAGCAUUAUGCUGUCGUGACAGCAUCUGCCUAGCUCGUUG